rnacentral:rRNA from 1 species
GAUGAACGCUGGCGGCGUGCCUAAUACAUGCAAGUCGAGCGAACGGACGAGAAGCUUGCUUCUCUGAUGUUAGCGGCGGACGGGUGAGUAACACGUGGAUAACCUACCUAUAAGACUGGGAUAACUUCGGGAAACCGGAGCUAAUACCGGAUAAUAUUAUGAACCGCAUGGUUCAAAAGUGAAAGACGGUCUUGCUGUCACUUAUAGAUGGAUCCGCGCUGCAUUAGCUAGUUGGUAAGGUAACGGCUUACCAAGGCAACGAUGCAUAGCCGACCUGAGAGGGUGAUCGGCCACACUGGAACUGAGACACGGUCCAGACUCCUACGGGAGGCAGCAGUAGGGAAUCUUCCGCAAUGGGCGAAAGCCUGACGGAGCAACGCCGCGUGAGUGAUGAAGGUCUUCGGAUCGUAAAACUCUGUUAUUAGGGAAGAACAUAUGUGUAAGUAACUGUGCACAUCGUGACGGUACCUAAUCAGAAAGCCACGGCUAACUACGUG